UUCUUCUCUGGGGUGCCUCCCUCAGGGCUGGGCUGGCCCGCCCACGUCCGAAAAGCGAUGCCCCGCAAGAUUAUCCUGCAGCUGGGCCAGUGUGGCAACCAGAGUGAGCCAACGAUAAGUACUACAUCCCCAGAGCUGUGCUGCUGAAUCCGAAGCCCCAGGUGAUCCACUGCAUCUUCAACCCCUCCUUAUGCCAAGCUCUACAACCCAGACAUCUGCCUUUCAGAGCAUGAAGGAGGGGCUGGCAACUGGGCCAGCGACUUCUCCCAGGUAGUGUGAGGAAGACCACAGUCCUAGAUGUCAUGAGGAAGCUGCUACAGCCCAAUAAUGUGAUGGUAUCCACAGGUCGGAUCACCGGACCAACCACUACUACACUGUCAUCCUUAACAUCAUCCAGGCGGAGGUGGACCCCACCCAGGUAGGCAAGGAUCCUUCUUUCCAUGCCUAGAGGAGAGACUGCCACCACUGUUGCUGUGUCCACCCCAGGUCCACAAGAACCUGCAAAGGAUCCAGGAAAGAUAGUUGGCCAACUUCAUCCCCUGAGGCCCAGCCAGCAUCCAGGUGGCACUGUCAUGAAAGUCUCACUAAGGGGGAGUCAUCGGACUCAUGACAACCAACCACACCAGCAUCUCCAAAGUGAGUCUAGUCUCCAGAACUUUUGGGCACCCUGUUCCACUAGCUACCUUCAUCAUCUUUCCCCAUCCCUUCCCAACUUCUUGCCUUGUACCUGGCUCCUAUUCUGCAGAUUUCCAUUUCCUCUAGUUCUCUGAGAGUUGUCAGCAGUAUUGACAAGCUACAGAAGCUGGAGGCCUUUUUUGGAGUAGUUCUGAAAGGAAAGCAUCUCCAAGAACUUUGAUGAGCUAGACAGGUCCAGGGAGGUUGUGCAGGAGCUCAUAGAUGAGUAUCAUGCAGCCACAAAGCCAGACUAUAUCUCCUGGGGCACUCAGGAGUGGUGAUUUCCUCAUCACUAUUCAGUAAAUCUUCACUGGACAGUUAGGCACAAUCUCCACCAUGCCUGGCCUCUCUGACCCAAAUUCUCUUCACAGACAACCAUUCUUAGUUAAUUUCUAGACCCAGAACUGAUUCUACUCCUUCUCUUCCAUGCCCUGAUCCCUAAUAUGUUUGUCUAACACUAAUAAAAUAAUAAAGUCUAGUUGCAUGUAUACAGUCAGGGCUUGGUCCAUGGAUAUGAACAGUGAAGGGAUUUCCAUGUUUCCCCCACUUCCCAGAUAUGACAGUAGGGUAGCCUUUCCCUGUCUUAGCUUCUUAUUCCAGUCCAGGUCUUAGCAUGUCUACUGUUCUCAUUGGUAUACCUUGCCUAGGGGGAUACCAUCUCUCAAGACUUCAAAGGGGUAUGAGUUCUGUUAACUCCUUGAUGCCUGCAUUUCUGCUUCAGGUGGAUUUAUGUUGCCCCCCAAGAAAAAACACUGUGGGGGAGACUAAAGCAGGGACACUAGAUUUUCAGCACCCAAGGCUGUAAGAUCCUCAACACAAUUCUAGCCAACAUGAUAAGCAGGAAGAGGCCAGGAGUAAGGCUGAACCCAUCCUGAUAAGCUCUUUUAUCUGUGCCAGAGAAGUUCUUGGGUCUGGAUCCUGUCCCAAUCUUGUCUUCAUUCCAGACCCACAGCAGUAGGCACACCAAAGAUGAACCCAAACAGGGCCCAGAGGUGAACACCAGGGUAGGAACUGGGUAGUGCCAGUCCAGAUGACUCAUUGCCCUCUGGCCUGAGGGACGCCAGGAGGCCACCCUUACGCCACUCAAUGGAGAAUAGAGGGUAAUUGCCAGCUUCAGAAAUGCCUUCAUGCCUGCCCCACCCACCACCCUAUGGCAGCAUACUGGCUAAGAAAAGGUUAAAUCCAGAAGGUCAAGGAGGGUGGAGCACUGUGGUGUCCAGACUUCCCUCAAUGCUGGUAAAAGCCCAGAGUGUAGGCGUCCUAAGGGGUGGAGCUCUGAGCUAUGGGGUUCAUUUGUCCCACUGACAACACUCCCACAGGAAGAGUUUGU